rnacentral:ncRNA from 1 species
CCCCUUGUCGCGUCGGGGUCAUGGCGCGGCUACCUCCCUGUUGGACCUGGCCGGGCGUUUGCCCGGCCGUUUUU